rnacentral:lncRNA from 1 species
UUUAGUGGAGGAGGUCCGCGCAUGCUGCUAGGGGGCGGGGUCCUGAACAACCUGGAGAUGGAGGGAAAGCUGAGAGCGAGAUGCCAGGCCGCCGCCGCCGCCUUGGACCUGCCGGACUCCGUCGACUCGAGGAAGAAGGGAGCGGAGGCCAUGGUUGAGCUGAGCCGGUCCCAGGUAAGCAUCUUGCUGGCUUUUGUUUCUUUAUUAUAAAUUUCUUUGGGUCAAAAGAAACUGUCUUUUUUUACAUGCUGUUGAUUGUACACGUACCAUUUCCAUCAAGUGGGGAAUUUUCGUGCGACUAGUAUAUAUGUCCUGCUUCAACGUAGUCCUGUAAUUAUGGAUUUUGUUUGGUCAACUGCAGUAGUUUCAGUAUCCAUAUGAACAGAAGCAGAGGAUGUCUUCUAUCUGCAGGUCAAACGGCAAGUUGCUGCAGUUUCCGGCGCUUAUUUCCAAUCGGAAACUGGGACAAGGGUGCAAUUAUGGAUCCCUUCAUAGAUAAACAAAUAAAGAGAGAC